rnacentral:rRNA from 1 species
GAACCUGAAACCGUGUACGUACAAGCAGUGGGAGCCUCUUAAUGGGGUGACUGCGUACCUUUUGUAUAAUGGGUCAGCGACUUAUAUUCUGUAGCAAGGUUAACCGAAUAGGGGAGCCGAAGGGAAACCGAGUCUUAACUGGGCGUUAAGUUGCAGGGUAUAGACCCGAAACCCGGUGAUCUAGCCAUGGGCAGGUUGAAGGUUGGGUAACACUAACUGGAGGACCGAACCGACUAAUGUUGAAAAAUUAGCGGAUGACUUGUGGCUGGGGGUGAAAGGCCAAUCAAACCGGGAGAUAGCUGGUUCUCCCCGAAAGCUAUUUAGGUAGCGCCUCGUGAAUUCAUCUCCGGGGGUAGAGCACUGUUUCGGCAAGGGGGUCAUCCCGACUUACCAACCCGAUGCAAACUGCGAAUACCGGAGAAUGUUAUCACGGGAGACACACGGCGGGUGCUAACGUCCGUCGUGAAGAGGGAAACAACCCAGACCGCCAGCUAAGGUCCCAAAGUCAUGGUUAAGUGGGAAACGAUGUGGGAAGGCCCAGACAGCCAGGAUGUUGGCUUAGAAGCAGCCAUCAUUUAAAGAAAGCGUAAUAGCUCACUGGUCGAGUCGGCCUGCGCGGAAGAUGUAACGGGGCUAAACCAUGCACCGAAGCUGCGGCAGCGACACUAUGUGUUGUUGGGUAGGGGAGCGUUCUGUAAGCCUGUGAAGGUGGCCUGUGAGGGUUGCUGGAGGUAUCAGAAGUGCGAAUGCUGACAUAAGUAACGAUAAAGCGGGUGAAAAGCCCGCUCGCCGGAAGACCAAGGGUUCCUGUCCAACGUUAAUCGGGGCAGGGUGAGUCGACCCCUAAGGCGAGGCCGAAAGGCGUAGUCGAUGGGAAACAGGUUAAUAUUCCUGUACUUGGUGUUACUGCGAAGGGGGGACGGAGAAGGCUAUGUUGGCCGGGCGACGGUUGUCCCGGUUUAAGCGUGUAGGCUGGUUUUCCAGGCAAAUCCGGAAAACCAAGGCUGAGGCGUGAUGACGAGGCACUACGGUGCUGAAGUGACAAAUGCCCUGCUUCCAGGAAAAGCCUCUAAGCAUCAGGUAACAUCAAAUCGUACCCCAAACCGACACAGGUGGUCAGGUAGAGAAUACCAAGGCGCUUGAGAGAACUCGGGUGAAGGAACUAGGCAAAAUGGUGCCGUAACUUCGGGAGAAGGCACGCUGAUAUGUAGGUGAAGCGACUUGCUCGUGGAGCUGAAAUCAGUCGAAGAUACCAGCUGGCUGCAACUGUUUAUUAAAAACACAGCACUGUGCAAACACGAAAGUGGACGUAUACGGUGUGACGCCUGCCCGGUGCCGGAAGGUUAAUUGAUGGGGUUAGCGGUAACGCGAAGCUCUUGAUCGAAGCCCCGGUAAACGGCGGCCGUAACUAUAACGGUCCUAAGGUAGCGAAAUUCCUUGUCGGGUAAGUUCCGACCUGCACGAAUGGCGUAAUGAUGGCCAGGCUGUCUCCACCCGAGACUCAGUGAAAUUGAACUCGCUGUGAAGAUGCAGUGUACCCGCGGCAAGACGGAAAGACCCCGUGAACCUUUACUAUAGCUUGACACUGAACAUUGAGCCUUGAUGUGUAGGAUAGGUGGGAGGCUUUGAAGUGUGGACGCCAGUCUGCAUGGAGCCGACCUUGAAAUACCACCCUUUAAUGUUUGAUGUUCUAACGUUGGCCCGUAAUCCGGGUUGCGGACAGUGUCUGGUGGGUAGUUUGACUGGGGCGGUCUCCUCCUAAAGAGUAACGGAGGAGCACGAAGGUUGGCUAAUCCUGGUCGGACAUCAGGAGGUUAGUGCAAUGGCAUAAGCCAGCUUGACUGCGAGCGUGACGGCGCGAGCAGGUGCGAAAGCAGGUCAUAGUGAUCCGGUGGUUCUGAAUGGAAGGGCCAUCGCUCAACGGAUAAAAGGUACUCCGGGGAUAACAGGCUGAUACCGCCCAAGAGUUCAUAUCGACGGCGGUGUUUGGCACCUCGAUGUCGGCUCAUCACAUCCUGGGGCUGAAGUAGGUCCCAAGGGUAUGGCUGUUCGCCAUUUAAAGUGGUACGCGAGCUGGGUUUAGAACGUCGUGAGACAGUUCGGUCCCUAUCUGCCGUGGGCGCUGGAGAACUGAGGGGGGCUGCUCCUAGUACGAGAGGACCGGAGUGGACGCAUCACUGGUGUUCGGGUUGUCAUGCCAAUGGCACUGCCCGGUAGCUAAAUGCGGAAGAGAUAAGUGCUGAAAGCAUCUAAGCACGAAACUUGCCCCGAGAUGAGUUCUCCCUGAGACUUAGAGUCUCCUGAAGGAACGUUGAAGACGACGACGUUGAUAGGCCGGGUGUGUAAGCGCAGCGAUGCGUUGAGCUAACCGGUACUAAUGAACCGUGAGGCUUAACCUUACAACGCCGAAG